AUUGAACGCUGGCGGCAGGCCUAACACAUGCAAGUCGAACGGUAACAGGAAGCAGCUUGCUGCUUUGCUGACGAGUGGCGGACGGGUGAGUAAUGUCUGGGAAACUGCCUGAUGGAGGGGGAUAACUACUGGAAACGGUAGCUAAUACCGUAUAACGUCGCAAGACCAAAGAGGGGGACCUUCGGGCCUCUUGCCAUCGGAUGUGCCCAGAUGGGAUUAGCUAGUAGGUGGGGUAAAGGCUCACCUAGGCGACGAUCCCUAGCUGGUCUGAGAGGAUGACCAGCCACACUGGAACUGAGACACGGUCCAGACUCCUACGGGAGGCAGCAGUGGGGAAUAUUGCACAAUGGGCGCAAGCCUGAUGCAGCCAUGCCGCGUGUAUGAAGAAGGCCUUCGGGUUGUAAAGUACUUUCAGCGGGGAGGAAGGGAGUAAAGUUAAUACCUUUGCUCAUUGACGUUACCCGCAGAAGAAGCACCGGCUAACUCCGUG
rnacentral:rRNA from 1 species